GCUUAACACAUGCAAGUCGAGCGAGAAUCGUUUUGCUGAAGGCUUCGGUCUGACGCAGAAUGAGGAAAGCGGCGAACGGGUGAGUAACGCGUGGGCAACCUGGCCUUAAGAAAAGGAUAGCCCCCGGAAACGGGGAGUAAUACUUUAUGAGAAUGAAAGAGGGCAUCCUACUUUCAUUCAAAGCGCAAGCGCUUAAGGAUGGGCCCGCGUAUCAUUAGCUAGUUGGUGAGAUAACAGCCCACCAAGGCAACGAUGAUUAGCCGGUCUGAGAGGGCGAACGGCCACAUUGGAACUGAGGGACGGUCCAAACUCCUACGGGAGGCAGCAGUGGGGAAUAUUGCGCAAUGGAGAAGAACUCUGACGCAGCAAUACCGCGUGAGCGAAGAAGGUCUUCGGAUCGUAAAGCUCUGUUAUCAGGGAAGAGGAAAAUGACGGUACCUGAUGAGCAAGUCCCGGCUAACUACGUGCCAGCCGCCGCGGUAA
rnacentral:rRNA from 1 species